rnacentral:lncRNA from 1 species
CAGAGCCUAGCAGAGAGGGAAAUUCCAGCCAACACAGAUGAGGAACUGAGGCCAACAGGGUUAAGUGACUGGCCCAGAGUCAUACAGGGUUCUUGCCCUUUCUCUCUUCCUCAUACAUGGCAAUCUGGUGGUUUGGGCCUCCUUAUUGUUUCUUGCACAAGACAUCCAUCUCCUGACUUCAAGCAUUUUCUCGGAUUUUCUCUCCUGCCUGGACUACUCUUCUUCAUCUCUGUCUCCUGGCUUCCCUGUCUUCCUUCAGAUCAAAACUAAAAAUUUCCUGGCCUCCCCUUAAUACCUGCAAUGCCUUUUCUCUAAGAUUGUCUCCAAUUUGUCCUG